AGCAGCCGCGGUAAUUCCAGCUCCAAUAGCGUAUAUUAAAGUUGUUGCAGUUAAAAAGCUCGUAGUUGAACUUCGGGGUCUACCCAUUGGUCAGGCUUAAUUGUCUGCACUGGUGAGAUGGAUCUCUACCUUCUGAGGAACUUUCAUGCCAUUUAUUUGGUGUGAUGGGAAAUCAGGACUGUUACUUUGAAAAAAUUAGAGUGUUUAAAGCAGACUAUCGUCUGAAUACAUUAGCAUGGAAUAAUGAAAUAGGACGGACUGAUUCUAUUUCGUUGGUUUCUAGGAUCACCGUAAUGAUUAAUAGGGAUAGUUGGGGGCAUUAGUAUUCAAUUGUCAGAGGUGAAAUUCUUGGAUUUAUUGAAGACUAACUACUGCGAAAGCAUUUGCCAAGGAUGUUUUCAUUAAUCAAGAACGAAAGUUAGGGGAUCGAAGACGAUCAGAUACCGUCGUAGUCUUAACCAUAAACUAUGCCGACUAGGGAUCGGAUGAUGUUAAUUUUANAAUGAA
rnacentral:rRNA from 1 species